CACCAGGAAGCUGCCCGGACGGCCCUUCUCCAUCAGCAGCUUCUCGGCCUCCUUGCCAGACAGGUGCCCAUGGUACCACCUGGCCCAGGGCAGGGGAGUCAGGGAGCUCAGGUCGUAGUAGUCGCCCGUGUUCUGGAUCUUGAUGUGGGUCACCUCGUCGUGGCGCCUGGAAGGACCAAGCACCAGCCACCGUUGGGGGCCCUGCUCCUACCAUCCCCCCUCUUCCCAUCACCACCCUCAGCUUCCGGAACAGUCCCUGGGCCUUUCUUGCCCUGAGGUCUUGGCCUCUGCAGAUUCCCUGCCAGGAACAGCGCCAAGGCCAGGCUGCAGCUCCCAGUCCAGCCAGGGUCUGGGCCCCACCCUGGUGGUGGGCACCCCGCCCACACGGCACCCUGGGCAGCCAGCACUAGGCUUGCAGACCGUGCACCUGAUUCUCCCUUGGCCUGGAGGCCGAGGCUGGGGCUGCCCUCCAUGACGGGCUCUGCCUCACCCAGACCACCUGCCUAGAGGCUCCAGACGACUGGGACAGGGCCCCCAAGACAGCUUCCCCAGGCCCCACAAUGUGGCCUGGGAAGCCCCAGGGUGAGGGAAGUCCAUCCUGAGGGCUCACCUCAGUCUCGCCUGCUGCCUUGGGUUUAGCAGAGAACCUGAAAGAUCUAGAGCCCUUUGGAAGCCCCCUCACCCAGACCACCACUCUUCCUUACAGACUGACUCCUCUCCAUCCAGGGCAGACACAGGCCCGGCUGUCCACUCUGCUGGUUGCAGCCCCUCCCCACCCCUCCCCCCACACAAUGGCCCUUUUGUGGGCUCUGGGCAGACCCCCACUGGGCAGCAGUGGGCAGCAUCCCCAUGAGACAGUAGCACAAUCACAGCCAUUGAGGCCUCCUGCCCGCCCCACCAGACCCCUCAGAGGGCAAGAGGGAGGUCCUGCCAACGCCCCACCUCACAGACCCCUCCCUGAAGCCCUUCUAAAUGGUGCCCUCCUGCCCACAGACCACCUGGUCUGGAAUGCUGGACUGCCACCCACCUUCCCACCCCGCCCCCCCGAACCCAGACUCUUGGCGUCCAGCCUCAGUGGGGUCCUUGCUGCCCGGGAUGCUGCCCGUCACCCCUCUGGGAGGACUAGGGAGCCUGAUCCCCACCUGUGCCCCCAGCUGAGGGUGCUCAGGCCCUGCAAGGCCUCUGGACCCACAGGCCUGUUCAUGCCUGGCCGUGGCACCACCCACCUGACGGACAGCGUGAAGCCUCCCGGGCAGCUCCUGCUGGGUCUGGCCAGGAAGCUCCCGUGCUGGCCCCGGGACAGGAGCAGCUGCUCCGCCUCGACCCCGCCGAGGUUGGGGUGAAACCACCUGGAACAGGGACAGCAAGUCUUCCUGCUUCCCCUUCAGGCCUCCCCUUGCCUUCAGCUCCCGUCCUGACCCCUCCAAGGAGCCUUCUGUGCUCAGUCUAUAUCUGCACUGUCCAGCGCGGCAGCCACAGCAUGUGUGGGAUCUGAAAGUAAGUGCAUUGAAAUCCAAAAAAAUCAGAAUUCCAGUUCCUGGACCAUGCUGGCCACACUCCACUGUGGGAAGCCGCGUGUGGCUGUCGAUGGUGCAGGCAGGAAACGUUCCCAUCAUCACAGAAGGUUCUCCUGGCCUCUGCUGGUCCACACUGCUUGCCUCGACGGAGUCCGCACAGACCUGAUUCCCUCUGCCCUCCAGCCCCCUGAGACCUUGGCUCUGGGUCCUCAUCUGCCUCCCGGGGCCCAGGGUCAGGCCUCCGUCCCCAGCAGCACGUGACACAGGCGGUCAGGCCUCUAGAAACGCUCUCCACUCUGCUGUCCUCGGAGGUUCUCCACGCUCCCUGGUUUUCCGCCUCACCUGGCCGGGCCUUCCUCCUCCUCUUUCUGACUCCUCAGUGUCACAGCCCCCCACCUGUGCCUACAUGUGUACAUGUCCACGCACUGUCUACACUUCCAGCCCCACCUGGGCUCUGAGCUUCAGGCUCAGACACGACACUUCUUAGCAUCUGUUUGGAAAGGUAACAGCAUCUUUAUUUUAACAUCUGCAAAAUUAAAAACUCCUGAAAACGAACCAAAUCCCUGUUCUUCUGCAUUGUCCUCACUCAGCGAAGGGAGUCACCACUCACCCAGUGCUCAGGUCCCCGCCUUGCAACCCCUCUCCUUCCCGGCACCAUGACCCAGUCCAUCGGAAUCCUCUCGUCCUACCUUCUAAACACGCCCGGAGCUGACCACUUCCCACCACCUGGGGCCCAGCGCCCACUAGCUCUCGCCUGGACUAUUAAUUCCGGGUCUCUGGGCCUCAUCCUUGCCCCUACAGCCAAGCCAUGGAAGACAGAGGGAGUCUCAGGAAAUCCACAUCAGAGCUGCUUAAAACUUGCCAGUGGCCCCCUGCAGCUCUCAGGAGGAGACUCCGAGGCCAGCACUCGCUUGCCUCGUGGACCCAGCACUGGAAAUCCUUGUUCUCCAUCGCUCUGUUCACUGACCUCGCCCUUGUCUGGCCACCUCUGGCCGCCCACCUGGGGCACAGCUCAUGCCUCCCUCCAGCUCACAUUUCCUGAGAGACCCUCCUGGCCAACACUGUGGCUCCAUCAUUGCCCGUACCAUCCACGUGUGGCACUUGCUAACUGCAGACAGACACACCAUGCUUCUCUGUUUGUCUGUCACCCUGUGUCUUCACCACUGGAUGUAAGUCCCCAUGAGGACAGGCUCUGUUCUGAUCUCAGUGAGCCCCCAGGGUCCACACAUUGGUUCAGAGAGGCCUGGAAACUCAGAUGACCUGCCUAGGGCCACCCAGUGUGAGCAGCACCCUGUCCACGCUCUCCCUGGGGGAAGUGGGGAUGCUGUCAGCCAGGCACCUCCUGAGCACGUUCUGGGCCUAGUGUCUCAAGUUCCCUCCCACGCUGGCUCACAGGAGAGCCAGACCUGGGGGCAAUUUUGGUUGAGUGGUCCAGCAGGUGAGGCUGCCAGGGAAGGCUUCCUGGAGGAGCUGCCACAUGGUGACCUCCAUAGCCAGUCAUCGGAGAGCAGGCAAGGCCACCAGGAAAAGGGCGAUGGCCUCGUACCAUCCCUGGACCC